UUUUGCGUGAUCCACCAGAACCUGACUGCUAUCGGAUUGAUACUAAGCCAUGCGAGUCAUUGUAGUAAUACAAGGCAGACGGCUCAGUAACGCGUAGUCAACUACCAUAUGGACGGGGAUAACCUCGGGAAACUGAGAAUAAUACCCGAUAGAACAUUAUACCUGGAAUGGUUUAUGUUUCAAAUAAUUUAUUGCCGUAGGAUGGGACUGCGGCCUAUCAGUUUGUUGGUGAGGUAAUGGCCCACCAAGACUAUUACAGGUACGGGCUCUGAGAGGAGUAGCCCGGAGAUGGGUACUGAGACACGGACCCAGGCCCUAUGGGGCGCAGCAGGCGAGAAAACUUUGCAAUGUGCGAAAGCACGACAAGGUUAAUCCGAGUGGUUUCUGCUAAAGGAACCUUUUGUCAGUCCUAGAAACACUGGUGAAUAAGGGGUGGGCAAGUUCUGGUGUCAGCCGCCGCGGUAAAACCAGCACCUCAAGUGGUCAGGAUGAUUAUUGGGCCUAAAGCAUCCGUAGCCUGCUUUGUUAGUUUUCGGUUAAAUCCAUACGCUUAACGUAUGGGUUGCCGGGAAUACUGCAAAGCUAGGGAGUGGGAGAGGUAGACGGUACUCGGUAGGAAGGGGUAAAAUCCUUUGAUCUAUUGAUGACCACCUGUGGCGAAGGCGGUCUACCAGAACACGUCCGACGGUGAGGGAUGAAAGCUGGGGGAACAAACCGGAUUAGAUACCCGGGUAGUCCCAGCUGUAAACUAUGCAAACUCGGUGAUGCAUUGGCUUGAUGCCAAUGCAGUGCCGCAGGGAAGCCGUUAAGUUUGCCGCCUGGGAAGUACGUACGCAAGUAUGAAACUUAAAGGAAUUGGCGGGGGAGCACCACAAGGGGUGAAGCCUGCGGUUCAAUUGGAUUCAACGCCGGG
rnacentral:rRNA from 1 species